GACGAACGCUGGCGGCGUGCCUAAUACAUGCAAGUUGAGCGCUGAAGGUUGGUACUUGUACCAACUGGAUGAGCAGCGAACGGGUGAGUAACGCGUGGGGAAUCUGCCUUUGAGCGGGGGACAACAUUUGGAAACGAAUGCUAAUACCGCAUAAAAACUUUAAACACAAGUUUUAAGCUUGAAAGAUGCAAUUGCAUCACUCAAAGAUGAUCCCGCGUUGUAUUAGCUAGUUGGUGAGGUAAAGGCUCACCAAGGCGAUGAUACAUAGCCGACCUGAGAGGGUGAUCGGCCACAUUGGGACUGAGACACGGCCCAAACUCCUACGGGAGGCAGCAGUAGGGAAUCUUCGGCAAUGGACGAAAGUCUGACCGAGCAACGCCGCGUGAGUGAAGAAGGUUUUCGGAUCGUAAAACUCUGUUGGUAGAGAAGAACGUUGGUGAGAGUGGAAAGCUCAUCAAGUGACGGUAACUACCCAGAAAGGGACGGCUAACUACGUG
rnacentral:rRNA from 1 species